rnacentral:rRNA from 1 species
CGUGUAGGUGGUGGGACAAGUCUGCUGUGAAAGCGCCUGGCUUAACCGGGCGAGGUCGGCGGAAACUGUUCGACUAGAGGACGGUAGAGGGGGUGGAAUUCCCGGUGUAGUGGUGAAAUGCGUAGAGAUCGGGAGGAACACCUGUGGCGAAGGCGGCCCCCUGGGCCGGCCCUGACACUGAGACGCGAAGGCGUGGGGAGCGAACG